ensembl:lncRNA
AGCCAGCAGGCUUAUGGAAAGAUGACUUUAAGUUCCCAGAACGAAUAUAUCCCUGCAGUUAUUAAGGGACAUCGACACUUUGGCUUUGGAGGAUCAGUAUUACCUGAGUCUGUAAUCGUUCAGCAAUAUUAUGACCUCACCCAAACCAAGAGGAGUAAUAUCCGACUGAAUGACCAACUUAAGAAGAUGAUUAAAGUCGAUAUUCCAAGAGAGCAUCCCUACAGCUCCCAUAUCUCCCGGUAUCCCGCAAUAUUUCCAUCAUACCGAUCCCCAGUACAGCCCUCCAGUGCUUCUGCUCCUGUUCUCGUGUGGCGGCAUCAUCAAAGAACAAAAAUAUAAACAAAAUAAAUGCUGAAUAACAAAAUUAAAUAAAAAUGCU